UGACACACCCCGUCCCGAAGGAGGGCAUGCUGGCCGUCACGUGAGAGUGACGUAACCAUUUGCACAGUACGGAAGCUUUAAUUAUACAAUUUAUAAGUUGAUACACCCGAAGGUGAGUCCUAAUUUUGUCCAAUCUGUCAGAACCCCGCUGUAUUCCUCGUAGUCACCACACCUUUGUGAUUCCUGAACCUGGAGGGGCGCAAAACCAAAAUUGAGUGGGUCAGUAAAACAAUUCUUUUCCAAAUCCAAACAUUUCUCAAAACGUUGUAACCCCUCUCCGUAAAACCUGUAUACUUUCCCAGAAAUGUAAAAUAUAAAUAUACAUAUAUAUUCUCAAUACUUCAUUUCACUUUUUCAACAUUUUUCAUAUCAGUUAUGCCAUGCCACAUCAUCUCAACAUUUCUCAUAUUAAUUAUGCCAUGCCACAUCAUCUCAACAUUAAUAAGGUAUGAAUGCAUUAACAUAAUCAUAUCAGGUGCAAGAAAGUAAUCAACCGUAGGCCCUCUAAUAGCCCUGUACGGUUGAACCUAGAGCUCAAAAUCUAUCAUUAUCACUCUACCGAAGUCACCUCUGUGACCCGUCCGGCCUUCUGCACGCAAGUUACGCUCUAGUGCUUCUCAUAAAUCAUCUGUGCACAUAAUCUAAGGUCACCCACCAGUCGGAAUCUCACUAACACUCUCGCGACUGGUCUGUCGUACCCACUCCGCGUGGACUGUACGACUAGCAUCUACUUGGAUCCAAGGCGAGCGUGCGAUGCGGUGAAUACUAUAAGCACUAAACCAUGGUGCAGGAUUUGAGCUCAAUAUAUAUCAUCAUCAUCAUAACAGUAAUUAAAUACUCAUCUGUGCGUCCACCGCACCAUUUCAUACAUAUGCAUCAUAAAUCAAUUCUUACCUGUGCGUCCACCGCACCAAUUCAUACAUAUGCAUCAUAUAUUAAUUCAUGCAUGGCAUUUCAACUCACAUUUCUAUAUACUUUUCAUAUCAAUUCUAUGCAUGGUAUUUCACUUCCCGUUUUUCCACAUAACUCAUAUGCAUUUCAUUUUAAACAUAAUUUCAUGCAUUUUCAAUUUCUGGGAAAACGUUAAGUAUAUAUAUAUAUAUACGGAAAACAAAACUGCCCACUCACCUGGAGUUCGCCCUACAACUCCCUAGCACAAUACGCCAAGGCGUCAUGACGAUCGGCGCCUAAAACAAUAAUCAAUUCCAACCUCAGAAUUCAUAUCGAUAGAAUAUAUAACUUAUAUAAAAUACGUCACUACGUAGAUUGAUCCGGAAGAUCCACCCCUCAGAUUUUAAAUCCAUAACUUCCAGAGGUCCACAUUAUACCUCUAGGACAACAACCUAAAAUUUCAUUACCAUCCAACGGUCGGAUCUCCGUCAAUUUCCAAAACUAAGUGACGGUUAACAUUUUAUAUUAUGGACUUACAAUUCCAAUUCCGGAAGAUCCGUAACUCGGAUUCCCAAUCCGUAAGUUCCAAUAAUCCUCAAAUAUUACGUAUUACAACGUAUCAAAGUUUGGUGACGAUCCAACGGUCGGAUCAUCAAUUCACAUUUUCACCUAAAUGUGAAAACUAUAAAACGUUAUUUGAACACCUAACCAACAAUCUUCAAUAACUUUCUCAUACGGUGUUCAAUUUAGGUAUAUGAAUAUACCACAGUGAUCUAAUCGACGUCAUGGACGUCGACAUGUUUUUAAAAUAAUUUUUUUUUAUUUUUUAUUUUUACUGUAGCACCUUCUUCUUCCUUGGGUCGCCGGACUGGUUUUUCCGGCGGCCGUUUUCUGGGCAGUUUUUCAAAUUGCCAUAACUUUGUCAUUUCUCAACGAAAUCAAGUGAUUCAAAAACGAAAGUUGUAGCCCUUGAAGAGACAAAGAGAAUGGUACCUUGCACAACACCUAGUUAGCCGUGGUUUGGCCGGAAACUGCCUCGAAAGCCUCGGAGGUCGCCGGAAACUGGGUAUUUUUCAAAUGAGUAUAACUUCUUCAAUACUCAACGAAAUUGAGUGAAACAAAAAGGAAAGUUGUAGUACUUGACGAGACGAAGAGAUUGAUACCUACCUCGACUCCUAACUCGCCGGGGAUUCGCCGGAAAAUUCCUCGAAAGCUCCGGCCAAACUUUGAACUUGUCAAUCUCCGUGUUCUUACGUCCAAAAACUUCCAACGAAAGCACUCCGAGCUUCCUUGGGACCUCACUAAGCCCGCUGUGAU
rnacentral:lncRNA from 1 species